CUCUUACAUUCACUAGUGUGAUGCUCUUAAAUUUACUAGUGAGAUGCUCCUACAGUCACUAGUGAGAUGCUCUUACAUUCACUAGUGUGAUGCUCUUACAUUCACUAGUGAGAUGCUCUUACAUUCACUAGUGUGAUGCUCUUAAAUUUACUAGUGAGAUGCUCCUUCAGUCACUAGUGAGAUGCUCUUACAUUCACUAGUGUGAUGCUCUUAAAUUUACUAGUGAGAUGCUCCUACAGUCACUAGUGAGAUGCUAUUACAUUCACUAGUGUGAUGCUCUUACAUUCACUAGUGAGAUGCUCUUACAUUCACUAGUGAGAUGCUCCUACAGUCACUAGUGAGAUGCUCUUACAUUCACUAGUGAGAUGCUCUUACAUUCACUAGUGUAAUUCUCUUACAGUCACUAGUGAGAUGGUCUUACAUUCACUAGUGAGAUGUUCUUACAGUUACUAGUGAGAUGCUCCUACGGUCACUAGUGAGAUGCUCUUACAUGCACUAGUGUGAUGCUCUUA
ensembl:lncRNA